rnacentral:lncRNA from 1 species
AUUAGAGGCAGGCUGUUUGGGUUUGCAUCCUGGCUCUGUCAUUUAACAGUGUCCUAGGAACACGGUCGUAGGUUUGCACCCGUGCAGUGGGUAGCCUUGGUCAAAUUAAGAUCACUACCCUCUGUUUCCUGCCCCAUAAAAUGUAGCUAAUGGAGAGGAAGCGAGUGCUUAGGAGCAUCCAGCCAGGGAUCCUCUCUGCCUCCUCCUAGCAGUGUGACCACCAUAUGCCUCCAACAGUUUCUUCCUCUGCUCAGCGGGGAUGACAAUAGUUCUUAUUUCAUAGAGCUCUUGAGGGUUAAAAGAGUCGGUAUGUAGGAAGAAUUUAGAAUAGUGGCUGGCAUAUAAGUAGCACAAUGUAAAUGUUAGCUAUUAUGGUUAUUACCUCACAGGGUUGUUGUGAGGAUCAAAUGUUAUAAUAUGGUUAAAAUAUCAUUCUUUUUUAAUCCAUCCAUCUAUCCAUCCAUCCAUUUCUUCACUCACUGUAUAGUACCAUGCUAGGCAACUGUGAAAUACACACUGUUGUUUCUCUCCUUGUUUGCAGGUAGUUAAUCCAACGGAUUAUUUCCUGGGAGUGUGUGAUUGCCUGGAUCAGAGUUGGGGAUGAGGGGAACAGUAUGGGAGCAGGAUAAAAGCAAUACUCGAUCUCGGAGAAUUUCUAACAUUCUAACAGGAAGUCCCAACUAAUAAAGAUAGUUGAAACUAGGGCAGGUUGUGCGUGAGCCAAGUCUCAAUUGUGCCUGCGGGUCCUUUGGGCCAGGGACGAACCAUCUUCACGCGUCUGGGAGGUUCGUGAGCACUGGGGUACCUGGAAGUGGCCUUCUGCUUAGGUGCCAGCUGGUAUUUACGUGGUUGUUUUAUUUGGCUCACAUAGUUGUUUUUUUGAUUGUGUAGACUCCUCUGAGUUGUGCAGAAAACAAAACAAAAUAAUAAAACAGGUGCUUUUUUUGGGGGGCCCUUUGAAAGGUAUAAACCACUUAGGGUGUUUACUUAGGCCUUUUUGCUUUUCUGGCUUUUUUUGCUUUUCACUUUUUUGCAGAUUAUAAAAAUUAAUCAUGGUCAUUACAAUAGAGCAUUCUGUAACCAAACCUAAAGAUUGGGAUGGAAACCCUCCCAUCAGGGUCCUCCCCUCCCGGAGUGUGUCCUGCGGGUCUGGACGCAGACCCUCAUGGCUGCAGCGCCCUGCUCAUAAUGAGUGUUAUAACCAUGUUGUGACCAAAUGUAGUUGCGUGUUUACUGGCAGAAGGCAGAGUGCUCGUGUGAACCACCCUGCUCCCAGUCCUUUGAGAUUAAAACACUUCUUAUGGUUAGAAUCUGGUAAAAGAAUGAAAGUCUGAGCAAAAAUACCUGUAAGCAGUUGUAGUGUAAAAAGGGAGGGACGAUGGCACAGGUACACUGCUGUGAUGUCAGGCCGGCUUCCUCGGGGAGCAUCUGACAGCAAAUGGAGUUGAAGACAUCCACAGAUGCCAGCGGUGGAGGGCGAGGUUUCUGUUUCACCUCGUGUUGAGGGAGCAGACUCGAUUUAAUCUGUCACUUGAUGUCCUUCUCCUCAAAAAUAGUGCCCCGGGCCCUCAGGGACUUUAUUUAGAGGCUCUUAGGAGCUCGGCAGUAUGUAAAUUAUGCGUAAGUGUCCUUCAUAGUUCCCGGUGGUCACAAUCGGAGGGAUUUAAACAUGAUUUAGCAUUUCAGAUGAUUUGUAGGCGUGCUGGAGCCAGCCAGUGCAGUGGGGGUGGCCCACGCUGGGUUUCUCACCACUGCAUUAAAUAGGUUUCUAUGUCUUGGCUGCUUGGCUCUGUGUGUUCUCCUGGCCUUGGAGUUGUUCUAUGAGCGGCCCCCAGUGUUGGUGGGUGGCCUCCCAAGUGUCUUUACUAUAAAACGAAAGGUUUUAUAACUUUAAAAAGAACAAUUCGAUCUAUAGUGACCCUUUACUUCUCAUUCACCCCUUCGUUCAUUCAUUUAACCAACAUUUAUUGAGCACCAGUUGUAUGUCAGUUGGUAUUUUAGACAUGAAGGACAUAAUGGGGAACAAGAUGAGCAUGGUCACUGGGCUUCUGGAGCCCACAUUCUAAUGAAGGGGAUAGACAUUAAAAAAAAAUUCAAUAAAUUCAGAGAACGAUAAAUACUUCAGAGGACAUGAAACUGCAUGAAGUAAUGGAGCGUGACCUGGGUGGGGGCCUGGGCAGGGUAUUAGGGGAAUCAGGGAAGGCCUUUCUGGAAGUGGCCUUUGUGUUGAGAUGUGAGUGAUCAGAAAGUAUCAGCUAUGCCAAGAUUUGGGGACACAGCAUUCUGAGCAAAGGAAAGAGCAGGUGCAACCAUCCUGAGGUUGUCUUCAAUUGCCUUUGACUUGGAACUGAUGGACCUGAUGGAGAACUUUGAGCAAAGCUGACCCACUGCAGUGAAUUAAACUGUCUCUGGUCCUAGAGGAGUUCAUGCCUGAAGCCAGAGGUCAGUCUGAGUGACUCCCAGCUCCCAAUCCUGCCUUCAGCUGACUCAGUAGUUCAAAUGGGCAGAAACUUCUGUUUCUUCUUUUUGCCCUGAUGAUCGUAGUUGAAAAGUACUGUGGGUGUGGUAGAAAGAGUCAGGAUUUGGUGAAAGGAUGUCUGAGUUAAAACUCUUGCUAUGGUUAUUAGUAGCAGGAUUUCUCCCCAGUCUCUGAAGCUGCUGGAGUUUCAUUUUCCUAGUUUGUAAACCAAGUGACUUCAUCUGUGUAGUCACCUGUCUGGGGGGUGGUGAUGGGCCACCGGGCUGUCAGCUCCACAAGGACAGGACACAUGGUUACCAUUCAAUACACUAUCUGUUAAAUGAAUGAAUCUAGUGCACGGACGGCUGUUUCAGUGCAUCUGUGCCAUCUCAAAUGCUGACGGGUGCUCGCAGCCUCGUGCUGUUUGAUAGAGCGGUGUCUCAGACUUUCGUGCACUCAGUAAUAACCUGGGGAUCUCGCAGAAUGAAGAUUCUGAAUUGGAAGCUCAGGGUGGGGUCUGAGAUUCUGAAUUCCUAACAAGUUCCCGGGUGAUGCUAUUGCUGCUGGUCAUGGACCACUCUGUGUAGUGAGGGUGUAAAUAAGUGGCCAGCAAAAAAACUCCUGUACAAGAUGGGAGUGGGGCCAGGUAGGGGGUUACUUAGGCCAGUGAUCUUCCAACAGGAGCAUGUCUCAGUUCUCCAGCUCAUCCUAUGUCCAGAAACGUCCCCAGUCUGACAUCAUGCCUGCAAAGGAACAAAAAGCACAUGCUUUUUUCCCCCCAUGCAGCAGAGCGCGUGGCCUGGCCGUGGCAUCUCAUGUUUGCCAUAUUUGGUGAAAAUGAUGGCUCUGGCUGCCCAUUACUCUGAAUCACCAGCGCGUGGCACUAGCAUUAGUAACCACUAAUACUUGUCAGACACGGUGCGUGUUGAGCACCCAGCACAUGCUUGCCAUGGGAUAG